GAGAAAGAAAAGAAAGAAAGAGAAGGGAAGAAGGAGGAAGAAAAAAGGGAAGAAGAUGCUUGUUGUGCGAUGUCGAGGUUGAAUCUUUCAAUUUCGGCACCGGAUUAGUAAUCCUCAUCUCAAGAUCUAUGAUUUGAGAUGAUGGGGUUAAUAAAGAUGAUAGUUUGAAUGAGAAAGGUUGAUCAUCAAACUAUAGUUGAUAACAGAGACAUGAAUGGACUAGCUCCAACACCUCUGGUACCAGCUCCUAUGCUGGUUAGCAGGUCAGCAGGUCAGCUCAGGUUCCCAAGCUUUCAACUCGGGUUUGGGAUUUCUCCACUUACCAUGCCACUCAGCAUCCUAAUCAAGCUUAUGUUUUCUAUGAUAAUAUUUCUCCUAAGUUAUUGAGUUUUCUAUCUAUUAUUGUUUCUUAUAAAGAAUCGAAUAGUUUUUCCGAAGCAAGCAAACUAGUCAUGUGGGUUAAGGCUA